UACGGAGGGUGCAAGCGUUAUCCGGAUUCACUGGGUUUAAAGGGUGCGUAGGCGGGCAGUUAAGUCCGUGGUGAAAUCUCUGAGCUUAACUCAGAAACUGCCAUGGAUACUAUCUGUCUUGAGGAAUGGAGGGGAGACUGGAAUACUUGGUGUAGCAGUGAAAUGCGUAGAUAUCAAGUGGAACACCAGUGGCGAAGGCGAGUCUCUGGACAUUUCCUGACGCUGAGGCACGAAAGCCAGGGGAGCAAACGGG
rnacentral:rRNA from 1 species